ACCGAUGGACAGAUAACAUUUUUACGCUGCGGCAGUGGUGCUCAAACAAUUUUCCAGAAGCCAAAGAACAGUUAGAACACAUGUACAAGGAGAUUGGGAUAACUGAGGAUUUCGACUAUUUGGAACUGCCAUCUGCUGGUUGAUUCAAUAGUGGAACUCAGCUUGAGACUACUUUUGAUAUCAUUCUUCCCCAUAAUAGAAAUAGCAGACUAAGAGAAUCAAAACAUUCUUGGGCGUGUGAAAUUGUGCUUAAUUUGAGUGUUGUACUCGAUCAAAAGCCAGUCUUGUCAGUGCUCUCGUCGACCUCUUGGUACACGUAAUGUUUGCAUCAUUUCAUAGCAUGUGAGCGGCGCACCCAGCAAAUUGGUCAGGAAUGUGAAGCUGGAUACAUAGUCUCUUCCUAUUUUGACAUCGUAUGGCAGCUAAUGAUGUUUUCAAUCA